rnacentral:lncRNA from 1 species
UUGUCUGCUCCAAUAGUUCGAUAAGUAUGAUUAUGUUCCCCUGCAACUAAAACGAACAACCACACAAGAAAAUAGAGAUGAUUCAAAAGUAAGUGUUGGAACUCGUGGAACGUGUACGUGAAGUUUUUUGUUCCUAGUGUUGAGUUUCACUAUUUGUGUUGGAGUUUAUGCGUGAAUUAUGUUUUUGGUUAUGCGUUUGGAAGUGUGU